CACGUAGGGGGCGAGCGUUGUCCGGAUUUAUUGGGCGUAAAGAGCUCGUAGGCGGCUCGGUAAGUCGGGUGUGAAAUCUCGGAGCUUAACUCCGAAACUGCAUUCGAUACUGCCGUGCUUGAGGACUGGAGAGGAGACUGGAAUUUACGGUGUAGCGGUGAAAUGCGUAGAUAUCGUAAGGAAGACCAGUGGCGAAGGCGGGUCUCUGGACAGUUCCUGACGCUGAGGCACGAAGGCCAGGGAGCAAACGGG
rnacentral:rRNA from 1 species